rnacentral:rRNA from 1 species
CCUACGGGUGGCAGCAGUGAGGAAUAUUUGUCAAUGGACGAGAGUCUGAACCAGCCAAGUAGCGUGAAGUAUGACUGCCCUAUGGGUUGUAAACUUCUUUUAUAAAUGAAUAAAACGAGGCACGUGUGCCUUUUUGCAUGUCAGUUAUGAAUAAGGAUCGGCUAACUCCGUGCCAGCAGCCGCGGUAAUACGGAGGAUCCGAGCGUUAUCCGGAUUGAUUGGGUUUAAAGGGAACGUAGAUGGGUUUUUAAGUCAGUUGUGAAAGUUUGCGGCUCAACCGUCAAAUUGCAAUUGAUACUGGCAGACUUGAGUACAGUUGAGGUAGGCGGAAUUCGUGGUGUAGCUGUGAAAUGCUUAGAUAUCACGAAGAACCCCGAUUGCGAAGGCAGCUUACUAAACUGUGACUGACAUUGAUGCACGAAAGUGUGGGUAUCAAACAGGAUUAGAUACCCCAGGAGUC